rnacentral:rRNA from 1 species
GAUGUAGAGCAAAACCCUAAAAAAUAAGUCUCAGUUCGGAUUGAAGGCUGAAAUUCGCCUUCAUGAAGCUGGAAUUGCUAGUAAUGGCAGGUCAGCAUACUGCCGUGAAUACGUUCCCGGGCCUUGUACACACCGCCCGUCACACCAUGAGAGUUGAGAAUACCCGAAGCCCAUGUCAAAGUGGUCGAAGGUAGGCUUGAUGAUUGGGUGAAGUCGUAACAAGGUAGC